AACGUAGGAGACAAACGUUAUCCGGAGUUACUGGGCGUAAAGGGCGUGUAGGUGGUUUUGUAAGUCUGGCGUGAAAUUUUUCGGCUUAACCGGGAAAGGUCGUCGGAUAGUGCAAGGCUAGAGGACGGUAGAGGCGUGUGGAAUUCCGGGUGUAGUGGUGAAAUGCGUAGAGAUCCGGAGGAACACCAGUGGCGAAGGCGACACGCUGGGCCGUACCUGACACUGAUGCGCGACAGCAUGGGGAGCAAACAGG
rnacentral:rRNA from 1 species